rnacentral:tRNA from 1 species
GAGGGUAUAGCUCAGUGGUAGAGUGCGUGCUUAGCAUGCAUGAGGUCCUGGGUUCAAUCUCCAGUACCUCCA